UAGCUUAACUCCUUCUGGUCGGGUCGGAAUCCUCCAAUGACUCCGUGUAUGUCCAAAUCGGGCAAGCUGGGAAUCACCCGACUUGUAAAUUGAAUAACUCGUUCGUGUGAACUCCUUUUGGGAUGAUUCUUCUUCGAGGUGCUCGGUAUUUGAGAUGAGAAUGUAUUCCAAGUAUUCUCUGGGACGGAGGAAAUGAUCUUGGACUUCGUCUGGACUGAACAAGGCUCAGGGGUCUUCUCGGGUAGGCUGAAUCUGGUUUGGCCCGAAGUUUUAGAUAAAACUUGGUUAAAAAUCCCACUUGGCUGCUCCUGGAUUGUUGUUUCUCGCCCAUAAUCUUCUCCAUGGUUG
rnacentral:lncRNA from 1 species